rnacentral:rRNA from 1 species
AUUGAACGCUGGCGGCAGGCCUAACACAUGCAAGUCGAGCGGAUGAAGGGAGCUUGCUCCUGGAUUCAGCGGCGGACGGGUGAGUAAUGCCUAGGAAUCUGCCUGGUAGUGGGGGAUAACGUCCGGAAACGGGCGCUAAUACCGCAUACGUCCUGAGGGUGAAAGUGGGGGAUCUUCGGACCUCUCGCUAUCAGAUGAGCCUAGGUCGGAUUAGCUAGUUGGUGGGUUAAAGGCCUACCAAGGCGACGAUCCGUAACUGGUCUGAGAGGAUGAUCAGUCACCCUGGAAGUGAGACACGGUCCAGACUACUACGGGAGGCAGCAGUGGGGAAUAUUGGACAAUGGGCGAAAGCCUGAUCCAGCCAUGCCGAGUGUGUGAAGAAGGUCUUCGGAUUGUAAAGCACUUUAAGUUGGGAGGAAGGGCAGUAAGUUAAUACCUUGCUGUUUUGACGUUACCAACAGAAUAAGCACCGGCUAACUACGUG